rnacentral:lncRNA from 1 species
CAGACCGCUCCUCCUCACUUCUGGGCAGGCUGGGCUUGCUCAUGUGUGCGCCACUGCCCGGUCCUCGCCACUAGGUGGAGCCACAGGUGCACGUGAGCUCCACCCUGGGUCCCCAGGCUCAGGACCCUUUAACUCUCUAACUGGUUUUUGAAUUUCUGUCAUGUGGUAACCUAUAGAGCAGGGUGUUUACUAUGUUAGAAGUGAAAACAGAGAAUAUGGUGCAUAUAUAUUUUUUCUCUUAAAAUCAACAAUAAAUUCAUUGCACAUGAACACUUCCUUUUAAGGAAAAGCAGCAUUGUUUUUUUUUUAAAACAAAUUUAGAGGCGUUGUCUUAACAUUUGUGCUGAUCCCUCAAAGGAAGAGCUGCAUUCUCCACUCUGCUUCUGCCUUCAGUGCCUACCAGCAUCGCCAUCAGGUAGCCUCUGGAACACCCUGCUGUGCCCUUCCAAGAGAAUGGGUGUGAAAGGCAGUUCUCAGCAGUCCCCUGACAGUUGUGUCUGUCCUGCAGCUACCCCGAGAAGCAGGCAUGGUUGCCUCAUGCCCUUUUCGGUGUUCUGUCUACAUUGAUUGGCUGCAUUUUGACUUUUUUUGUUAAAGAUAAAGAGAGUCAGACAUAAAAUAUUUAAUAUGAUUUUAUGGGCAGAAAUGAGCUUGGCAACAAUCUGGUUUGUAAUCAAGGUUACUCUGGACAUUAAGGAGCUGCCCCUUUCAGUCCUGCUGAGGCCCAGGUUAUUUGGGAUUCCCAGAAGACACCAUCUGGAGAAGCCCCGAGAAGAUUUGCAGGACUCAUGACCGAGGCAGCCCCAGGUGGACCUGGCAGGAUGUGACUGGUGGUUCCAGCUGCCUUUGGUGAGUGUGUUUCUUGAGCCUUCGCCCAUAGCUUCUUCUGGACCUCAGCCUGUCUGUGCCCCUCGCCCUGUGACCUUCCCAGUUGUGGUAUCCUCUAGCUUUUAAAGCAGAAACAACCAACUCUGCUCCCCAGAAAUUGAACUAUUGUGGUUUGUCUUUGUUGUUGUUUUUUGUGGCUUGUCUUUAGGAAAGCAAACCAAAUGUUGAGUUGGGCUCACUUGGACUGAUUUAGCUGUGGUGAAUAGCCAGAGAUUCCCAUUUUUUUUUUUUUAAAGAUUUUAUUUAUUUAUUCGACAGAGAUAGAGACAGCCAGUGAGAGAGGGAACACAAGCAGGGGGAGUGGGAGAGGAAGAAGCAG